rnacentral:rRNA from 3 species
GCUGGUGAUUCUGGCGGCUGGGAACUACCUGAUCCCAUCCCGAACUCAGAAGUAAAACCAGUCAGCGCCGAUGAUACUUUAAUGGGAAAGUAGGUCAUCGCCAGCA